GUUCCUGUAGUUGAAAUACAACGGUGGUUUUUCGUGCCACUGGUCGUGGUUAAAUUCCAUGUGGGAAUA
rnacentral:tRNA from 1 species